CCUACGGGGGACAGCAGUGAGGAAUAUUGGUCAAUGGACGAGAGUCUGAACCAGCCAAGUCGCGUGAGGGAAGACGGCCCUACGGGUUGUCAACCUCUUUUGUCGGGGAGCAAAGCGAGUCACGUGUGACUCAUUGAGAGUACCCGAAGAAAAAGCAUCGGCUAACUCCGUGCCAGCAGCCGCGGUAAUACGGAGGAUGCGAGCGUUAUCCGGCUUUAUUGGGUUUAAAGGGUGCGCAGGCGGAGGUGCAAGUCAGCGGUCAAAUUGCGGGGCUCAACCCCGUACUGCCGUUGAAACUGCAUCCCUGGAGCGUGCGAGAAGUAGGCGGAAUGCGUGGUGUAGCGGUGAAAUGCAUAGAUAUCACGCAGAACUCCGAUUGCGAAGACAGCAUACCGGCGCGCAACUGACGCUCAUGCACGAAAGCGUGGGUAUCGAACAGGAUUAGAUACCCCAGUAGUC
rnacentral:rRNA from 1 species